GGAAGCUCGGUUGGGGUUUCUGCAGAAGUUUCCCCCUUGGGCGGUGGCGGAGCUGAUAAGCGCGCUAGUAGCAGCUCUGGCAGAAGCAACGGUGGCUUCGAGGGAUGGCGGCGGCUGCAACAGGACCUGCAGCAUCCCAGAGGAACUGACUAAGGCUUUGGAACAGAAACCAGAUGAUGCACAAUAUUAUCGUCAAAGAGCUUAUUGUCACAUUCUUCUUGGGAAUUACUGUGGUGCAGAUGCUAAUUUCAGUGACUGGAUUAAAAGGUGUCGAAGCUCAGAAUGGCUCGGAAUCUGAGGUGUUUGUGGAGAAUUAUGAGACCCUCGUGUUUUACUGGCCCUCGCUGCUGUGCCUUGCCUUCCUGCUGGGCCGCUUCCUGCAUAUGUUUGUCAAGGCUCUGAGGGUGCACCUCGGCUGGGAGCUCCAGGUGGAAGAAAAAUCUGUCCUGGAAGUGCACCAGGGAGAGCACGUCAAGCAGCUCCUGAGGAUACCCCGCCCUCAAGAGAAAAAAAAGUCUUGGUUCCAAACCAGGAUAUAUGAGUGGGAUCCCUGCUUUCAAUUUCCAAGCAGAAUGAUUGGAACCAUUGUGUUGGCAUUCAUCUGCCUGUAUCUUUUCAUUGUCAUCGAGUUCUGCGUGUUUGUGUACGUGAGAGAUGAGUUGGAUGUGCUUGAAAACAACCUGGAAAGCUACAUCACCUUCACGAACCAUUCAGGGGUCCUGACCCCAGUCAUCCUGCAGGUGAAAGAGCUGAUCAGUGUCACCAAAGGAGUCUGGGUGGCGACCAUUUUGCCCGCGUAUCUCACGUGUGUGAGCUAUCUGUUCCACAUUUUGGUCUGUUACAGAAAGCACAUGAAGAGGCUAUGGGCAGGAGAUAAACAUUUUCUUCCUUUGAAGUUCCAUAACCCGGCCUCGUCGGAGAGCAUGGUGGCCAUUGCAAGGUACUCUGGCUGGCAAAUAGCCUAUAUUCUGUGGGGCUACCUCAUCAUUCACAUGGUACAGAGCCUAUGUGGCAUGGCAAUCAUGUACAGCCUGGUGCUACCCAUCGUCCAAACCAGGGCCUGGAAAUGCUGCAAGGGCUGGGCAUUGGGAUCCUUACAAUAUCCAUCGUUGUGGGUCUCAUGAUCCUGCAGAUGUGUAUCGCUGCCAGCUUCUUCCUACAGCCAAAGCUGGGCACGGCUGACAAGCAGAAGCCCCUGGCUCUCAACAACAGGAAAGCGUUCCACAACUUCAACUACUUUCUGUUCUUCUACAACGUGCUGCUGGGCCUGGGUGCCUGCCUUUCCAGGCUGCUCAUCAGUUGCCUCCUCGGCAUGUGGCUGAUUGCCCGCAUCGACAGGACCAUCAUGCAGAGUGGCUAUGAGGGAGCAGACAUGGGGUUCAGUGCAUGGAUUGGGAUGCUCUACAUGGACCAUUAUCACAUCAACCCUGUGCUUGUCAGCUUUUGCCACAUCCUGAUCACAAAUCACAGGGAGAAGAAGCUGCAGCAGAGCACCAAAUACUGGUGCCUAAAUCAAUCGGCAGGUCCCCAUGUCUCAGCUAGGUCCAGAACAAGGUGGUUCCUGUUGCAGACCCUAAUCGACAACCCAAGACUCACCAUGCACAGAAAAUUAAAAUUAGGGCACAGUUCCCAGGAGUCCCAAAUUCUGAUGGCAUGCUCGGAGAGCUGACGCUGGCCCCCAUCAUCUGCUCCAAAGCCAGGCUAGGACAUCUGCCACCAAGAGAGGGCUCAAUCUAACCAGCAGCUGUCCCCUGCAAUGAAAUGGGAUGGCACAGGCACCAUCCAUGCAGAUGGCAGACAACAAUGGUCACUCAUGGGAUGGCCACCUGGGCUGAGGGAUGAAGUUUCAGGACUAUUUCACUCCCUUGGCAAAAAAGAUUAAAAAACUAAAGAAAAGUCUGUUGAACAAACUUUACCCAUUAAUGACUUCCACUAUCCAUUGUGGGUAGGCAGCCUUGGAGAGUUACUUGUUAAAAAGCACUUAGUUUACCUACAAAGCAGAAUUUUAUGUCACUGGAGAAGGUGGUAAAAUGUGUACAUCAGGAGAGUUUAACCAUCAGAUCCUAAUUUUUCUCUGGAACAGAAUGUGGAUUUCAAUCUGACAGUAUCCUCAUUGCUUUCUUCUUGCCAGGCUUUAUGGUGGAUGGAAAAAAAGGAAAUCCAUGAUCCUGGUCCCCAGUGUUUUUAGACAAGCAGGCACACAACAGGCUUUCUCUCCCAUUGCCACUGAGAUGAGGAAUGGAUCAGAGCUAACUUGGGCAUUAGUCAUAAAGCAGAUGCACAGAUUCUCUCUAAUAAGGGUGGGAUUACUUGGAAAAGCCACCUGUCUGAAGAUACAAAGACAGGGUAGGCAGGUAUUCCAGGUGGGGGAUCACAAGAGUAAAGUUCUGUGAGCAAGCAAGCCCCAAGCAUGUUUGAGGAGGGUGAGCCAUGUGACAUGUCGGGGUACAGAACUCUAGGGGCUGGCCAGGACCAUCCCAAGAAGGGCCAAAUGUCAUGCCAGGAGGCUUGGACAUUUGUCCUGUGCAAAGCCCAGUACUUAACCACAUUUCAUGCUGAAGCACAAAAACCUGGCCCAGGACCUGUACAAAAUCUGUCCAUUCAAAAUUCCUUAUGAAGCUUCUGCAGAUAUUAUGAGGAUCCCACCAACAAGACAAAGGGGAAUCCCCAUUCCCCUCAUGAAUCCAAGAGCAAUUGUAAUUCAGUUGUUAUUGUUAAGCACCUAAUGUAAAACCUAGUCCUGUUGCUAGGUGUUUGCCAGCAUUGUCUCUUAGUUUAAUCUCUGUAACUGAGCUUUAUCAUCCUGCUUUUUAGAAACUGAGAAAACCAAGACUCAAAGUGUUGGGAUUCUCAUGCCACCACUUUGUAGGUGUGUGCCAGCAGCUCAAUUACUUUGCCUUUAUUCACUUUUCUUAUCUAUAAAAAGAGAGUAAUACCCCCUAACACCUAAAAUUGUUUUGAGGAAAAAAAUGAGUUAAUAGAGACAAACACUCUUAAGAUAGUGUCUCACACAUCCUAAACUCUCAAUAGAUAUUAACUAUUAUUAUUUGUCAUAUAACACUUCGUGAUGAUCUGAUUAAUAUCUGCUCACCCCCUCACUAAGAUACCAGCUCCAUGAAGAAAGAGGCCUUCUCAGGUUUUGCUUACUAUCACCAAGCACACACCUAUAACAUAAUAAGAUCUUGGAAUGAAUAAAAUAAUGAGAUCAAGAUGAAUAA